AUUUUAGGAUAAGUAUUUCCCGUGCAAUAUCUGGGACAUACUUAUGCUACAA
rnacentral:pre_miRNA from 1 species